rnacentral:rRNA from 1 species
AGAAGUGAAACGCCGUAGCGCCGAUGGUAGUGUGGGGUCUCCCCAUGUGAGAGUAGGGAACUGCCAAGC